rnacentral:misc_RNA from 1 species
ACAAGUUCCUAAGAUUCUUUAACUUAGCCAAGCUGGAAGGGACCUUGCCGGAGAGUUCAUUUCCAUUCAAGCCCAAGUACUCUAAACUCUGAAUCUCCGAGUAUGACUCCGGUAUCGAGCCUGAAAAGUAGUUCCCGCCAAGAUGAAGAUGCUUGAGAUUCUUCAGGUGCACGAGGUCCAGCGGCAAUGGACCGGAGAAAUUAUUGUUGUAAAUGUCAAGGAUCUCAAGCUGAGUCAUGCCGAGAGUGAUCUCUCCAGGGAAAUCGCCAACGAAGACAUUAUUGGAAAUGUUGAAAAUCCUAAGAGAAGUGAGCUCAGCCAUUUCCAAAGGGAGCCUUCCAGAGAGAUUGUGUGAAGAGAGAGUGAGGUUGACGAGCUUGUUCAAGAGCCCAAUUUCUGGAGGAAUGAAACCGGAGAGAAGGCAAUGAGAUGAGAGAUUGAGAGACACAACCCGUGAAUCCUCAUUGCAAGUAACUCCGGAGAAGGAGCAGUGAGCAGAGGAAGACGGCGAGAGCAUCCAGUCCUCCAAGCCAUGACCAUAUGGUCCGAGCAUGGAGGUUUUCAGCUUCAAUAGCAUUUCAAAAUCACUGUACCCAGAGCAAGCAGCUGCAAGCAGCAGAAGGAUGAGAAUAAAAGCUAGUGAAAAUCUCAUUUUCAUCCUUCUCUCAAUGGCUCUUUCUUCCUGUCUUUCAGAGGAUAUGAUAGAAAAAGAAGGUGGCGAUAUUUCUACGCUUGCUGUUCAAUAAGGGGAGUUGGAGGCUAGGUCAUCAAACACGAAUCCAAGACUCGCAAUAUCAUUCUUGAAAGAAUAAACAAAAAGUCAAGAAAGGAAAAAAGAAAGAAGGUGGGGAAGUGCAUGAGUUUUUGUAUCCCACACUGCACCUCAUGCACGAUCCAACACUAGCGUCUUUAGUUGUUCGAUCACUGAAAGACUAGGUUGUCAUCACUGACACCUAAGGGCACCGUGGACUUUGAUAUAUAUAAUGCAUUUUCUUCUGCUUUUUGAGUUGCUGAUCCUUAAUUAUAUGCUUGUGGGAAAGAAGACAUGCAUUUAUUCUAAUAAUAUUUUACUUAAUUGCUUGAAGAACUUGUUCCUAUUCUCCUAAUAUAUAUAUCAGUCUUAGUGGAGAAUUCUUAAUUUUUAGACUAAUCUAAAAGCCUGAGUAGGUGACUAGAGAAUAAAGAUACCUCUCUGCUUUUACAAACAAUAAACACCUAUUUUGGAUAAUUGUGGUUAUUCUAUUAUAUCCAGUGAAUGGAGGAGAAUCCCUUGGACUUUGAAAUCUACAAGUGCCAUGUAUAUAGGGCUCCAUGGGAGAAUAUCUAGGGGUCUAUGUUUAGUUCAAAAUGCCUGCUUUUACUCCAUUGACAUUCUACAGGAUCGAUUCGUGUAUGGCCUUUAAACUGAACAACCAAUCCAAACCUAAGGUUGGGUUCUUUAUUUUGAGUAUUAUAUAUACACACACACCACUUUUAACACUAUAUCACAACAAAAUGCUGUUUAUGGAAGAGAAAACCUCAUUAGGUCAAAGAUUCUAAGGUUAGUUCAUUGUCUCAUAGCAUGAUUCUAGUUUUAGGAUGAGCCAGCCAUUUUGCAACUGGAAUCGCCUUUUUUCUGAAAGGUGAAUUUUUAAUUUUAUGACUGAAAUCAAAUAAACAAAAAACUAUUCAUAUUUAACUGUUGGUGUGAAAAUAUAUGGGUUGUAUAUGAUAAGGUAACGGCCAAUGGGCUUUUUGGUUGGAUUGGGAACUAGGAGCGGUUGUGGAUGAUGGAAGCCCGGCUUUCAAGAGAAAUUAUUAGGUGCACCCAGUAUACAUAUAUUAUUUUUCAUAAUCAUGUCGGACUUACUCUCUAUAUUGUAGGAUGAACCAACUUUUAUGUAAAAAAGAAAAUACUAAUUUUUAAUGCUCCUAAUGCAUCUAAUAAUUAGCUGACUUGCAAUGUCAAACCAAACCAUUCCCCUUCAAUCAAAUGGUGUGCGCUAGUUGGGCCACAUGUCACAUCUAUAAUUGUAAACUGAGCCUUUCUGUGGCCUCACUUUUACUGGUCAAGGAUCCUCAAGCUUCAAGUCUUGUGGCCCAUUUCCAUUCGUUUUAAGCUGGUUUCAACUUUCGACUUGCACCAAUUGCUGGCCCAUGUCACCAUAUGUGAAAGAAAGGUCAUAGCUUGGCUAUAUUGUUGUUUAGCUGUGGGAACAGGGAAGCUCCAGCCUCCUGCAAGCUGUUGUGAGCCAGGAACCUUCAAAAUUUUAAAGGAGAACCUUUACAUCAGAAAUAAGAGUUGCUAUUUCACAUAGGGGCUGAGGGACGAAGCUUUUGAGAAAAUUUUCAUCAUCUCUUGCAGUUGCCAAAUCACCGUAUAGCCGAUGCUUCAGCCACUUCUGCUAAUGAAACCAUGAUCUUUUUCAAUAUCCCAUUUAUCAAUUUUGUAUUAUGGUCUAUCAUAGCAACUGCUUCUCUGGCCAUCUACUAGCAUUCACGAAGGAGGCAUCGCAAUUAAUCUUCUUUAUCCCUUGUGAAGAGGGGGAAGCCAGACUCUGGUUGAAGAAGGGAUUGUUUGGCAGGCCUAAAUCCUUUGUGGAUUGAGUAGUAAUGGGGCAAAUUAAUUGCUAAAACCGAGGAGACGAGACUUGCAACGUCUCUUAGUAUUUACAUUGAACUGGAACUAAAUGGAAAAGGUGGGAAAAUAUUUUCCAAUCUCAGAAGAGGUUAAUCCUAUCGAAAACAGAUGAGAAGUUUCUUUUGCGGAGAAAAUGCUACUGAAUUUUACUGAACCCUUGCAAAAGAUGUUAGCAAGCUUUAAUUUACAGGAUUCUAGUUAUUAGUGAAUCACAAAGUUGAUCCAGAAAACACAAUGCAGAAGACACAAUAGAAUGUUUUCCACUUGAAAUACAUACCAAAAUGGAACCUGUUUAAGAUGUUCUCCAUUGUAGCUCAAUUUGAAUCCGGCCGUUCCUUGAGUCGAUGAGAUGGUAUUUCUCAUUGGUUCUUUUGUUGUUAACGGCAUCAGCUAAGUUUAUAUCCACAUAACCCAAAUUUUCCUUGGGAUGGAGGAGACCCAUCCUUGAGGAGGCACUAAAAACUUCCACAUGAAGCCUAUCAUUUGUGGGUGGUUCCUCAAGCAUGAACUGAAAUUCCUCUUCCCAUCUUGGAUCUCUGUUUUUCUUCACAAGCUUCAUUCUUCUCUCCUCCCCCCUGAAAAGUAACAUAACGAUUUGAAUGGUGUUUUCCUUCAACAUCUUGAGCUUCGUGCACAAUAACCACAAAUAAACCACCACCAGCUGGUGUUCCUUCAGGAGCCUUUUCUACUGCAUUUGGAUCUGCAAUACCAUUAGGUGUAUUGUCUUCCUUGAAAGGUUUGUAUUCCAGUUCCACAACAAGUUGCCCGCGUGAUUUCUCGUUUUCAGCAUCAUUUGGGUCCAUAUUUUUUAGCAGAUUAAGUGUCAUAACUUUUGGCUCAUCAGGUGUUAGCUCUUUUAAUGGAACAACAUUCAUCCCCAUCUUGUCAUGUUUGCCAACCUACAUAAAAGGAACAGACAGCUUUUAGAAUCACAAGGAUUGGACAAUAGAAGGUAAACAAAAACAGUAUUUUACACCAGCAACUCUUCCAUACGAGAGUCCUUCAUGGCCUAUUGUAAACCAAACAUUUUGUGUUCUGAAUUGAUAAAAUAUAACUCAUUAAGCAUAGGCGAGGGCGAGUGAUGGUUUAAGGAAAUUGUGGUAAAUCAAACAAUAAGUUUCAAAAAAAUAUACCUGUUCCCAGUCAUAAACAAUAAUCUCUAAGGCUUGAUAUUCUGGGUCUUUGACAACAAUGUUAAAUUCCUCGUUCCAUUCAGGGUUCAAGUUUUUGUGCUUCACAGUUGUUUUCUUUGAAGGGAGCUUCUCUUCGGUGAGUUUUAAUUUCACAUAAGGGUCUGAUGCCCCAAGAAGAUCUUUUUUUUAAGCUUCAUUGCCCUCAAAACCUUCACAGUAAGAAUCCCAACAGGUCGCUUUGUAGCUCCGUCAAGUUUGGAACAAUUAGUCAGUUCCAGUGAAAGGAUUGGUGUCAUAACCUGAAACAAGGGAGAGAAAACACACUUUGCAGGAUCCAGGACUGGUACUUGUAGGGCUUUUGGCCAUAAAUACAUAUGUGCAACUUGAUCUUUAAUAAGCUCCUGGAGCAAGAAAAAAUGAUGAAAAAAUUUGAGGAAUCAAAAUGAGAAACUCUGUUACAGGGUGGAAGGUUUUACAGUAGCAUUUUCAAGAUGAAGCUCUAGAGUACAGAGAAACAUGGACGGGCUCAGGGAUAGAUAUGCCUGAAAAUGCAAUCAUUCCCAUUUUUUGCAGCGUAGCCAAAUAAAUAAGUUAUGAUCACCUGGACAAAUCUGUAUAGACCAGGAAUAGACAUGGCAUCUGCUCCAAGCAAUUUCAAUCCAAAUUCAACAUGGGGCUGCAGAAUCAAAGAGAGAUGAGAUGGUAUUUCACAAUAUAGAUACUAUAGAAAAUUUUAAAUCUAUGGAUGCUUCAUACAUUUAGAUGACCUAACACAUGAAAAUCAAGAGCCAAAAUAAUAUUACAAUACAAUUUUGAUGACCUAAAACAUGGUACAUGGAAAUUUAUUAGAUCAAAUCAUUCUCCAGGUAAAUUGCAUCUUUUGGGAAAAUGUAUACAUUAUCAGCAUCAAAUAGUAGUAGCAGCCCCAGCCUGCUUCAUAUUGAACUAUAAAAACCACAACCUCGGCAAAUUAAAAUCUGCCGCAUUACAAUAAAAAAGCUUUUCCAUUAGCACAUAACCUUUCCAUUAGAGAGACAAAAAUAUUGGCAAAACAAGGAAAGGCAGGAACCAAAGGCUUUAGGGUGAUGCGUGGAGCAGCAAAUACUUGCAAAUCAACCACCUGAAAUGAUUUGAAGAAGUUAAUACUCCUUGGAGAUGUUAACUACAUGACAAUUUAUCUCACAUCUUGCUUUCAUUAAACACUUCUCCAUGCAUGUGCACUUCUGUGUGUGUGUGUGUGUGUGUG